CUCCUGGAAAACGGGUGGUAAUGCCGGAUGCUCCGGUUGGAUGCAUGUCCUUCCGGGAAAGAUUCUAUCGGUAUGGGAUGGGGUCGCGUCCUAUCAGCUUGAUGGCGGGGUAACGGCCCACCAUGGCUUCGACGGGUAGCCGGCCUGAGAGGGCGACCGGCCACAUUGGGACUGAGAUACGGCCCAGACUCCUACGGGAGGCAGCAGUGGGGAAUAUUGCACAAUGGGCGCAAGCCUGAUGCAGCGACGCCGCGUGCGGGAUGGAGGCCUUCGGGUUGUAAACCGCUUUUGAUCGGGAGCAAGCCCUUCGGGGUGAGUGUACCUUUCGAAUAAGCACCGGCUAACUACGUGCCAGCAGCCGCGGUAAUACGUAGGGUGCAAGCGUUAUCCGGAAUUAUUGGGCGUAAAGGGCUCGUAGGCGGUUCGUCGCGUCCGGUGUGAAAGCCCAUCGCUUAACGGUGGGUCUGCGCCGGGUACGGGCGGGCUGGAGUGCGGUAGGGGAGACUGGAAUUCCCGGUGUAACGGUGGAAUGUGUAGAUAUCGGGAAAGAACACCA
rnacentral:rRNA from 1 species